GAGUGCGUAGCUCAGUGGUUUCGUACCUAGAGAGCGUUUGACUGCAGAUCAAAAUUGAUAUUAUGGUCGGGAGUUCAAAUUGUUCCGGUUUUCUCCUCGCACUCU
rnacentral:tRNA from 1 species